rnacentral:rRNA from 1 species
AGUGAACGCUGGCGGCGUGCCUAACACAUGCAAGUCGAACGAUGAAGUCCUUCGGGAUGGAUUAGUGGCGCACGGGUGAGUAUACCAUAGAUAAUGUACCUCUUAGUUUGGGAUAGCCACUGGAAACGGUGAUUAAUACCAGAUACUCCUUCUCAUUAUAAGAUGAGUCGGGAAAGUUUUUUCGUCUAAGAGAUCAGUCUAUGUCCUAUCAGCUAGUUGGUGAGGUAAUGGCUCACCAAGGCUAUGACGGGUAUCUGGUUUGAGAGGAUGAUCAGACACACUGGAACUGAGACACGGUCCAGACUCCUACGGGAGGCAGCAGUGAGGAAUAUUGCACAAUGGAGGAAACUACUGAUGCAGCAACG